GACGAACGCUGGCGGCGUGCUUAACACAUGCAAGUCGAGCGAGAACCGGUGGAGGGGUAACCCUCUGCCGGGGACAGCGGCGAACGGGUGCGUAACACGUGGGCAACCUGCCCCAGACUCAGGGAUAACCCCGGGAAACCGGAGCUAAUACCGGAUACCCUCGCGGAGCCACAUGGCGCUGCGAGGAAAGGUCCGCCGGUCUGGGAUGGGCCCGCGGCCUAUCAGCUUGUUGGCGGGGUAACGGCCCACCAAGGCGACGACGGGUAGCUGGUCUGAGAGGACGGCCAGCCACACUGGAACUGAGAUACGGUUCAGACUCCUACGGGAGGCAGCAGUGGGGAAUAUUGCACAAUGGGCGCAAGCCUGAUGCAGCGACGCCGCGUGGGGAUGAAGGCCCUCGGGUUGUAAACCCCUUUCGGCAGGGACGAAGCGAUCGUGACGGUACCUGCAGAAGAA
rnacentral:rRNA from 1 species